ensembl:lncRNA
CGUGGCGUGACAGAAACCCGGAGGGACGUCUCGCGGUGAUCGAUCACGCCGACAAAACAAUCAGCCGGGCUGAAGCCUUCCGGAUCGCCCAACUGUUUGUGUUGUUCCGAAUAAUCCCCGAAAUGCUUCAGCUCCCUGCCGACGGAGGCACCUCCUCCGCCCCUCCAUUCAUCACUCGCUGACCAUUUAGUGCGCGGCCGCUCCUUGAUUGAUCGUGUUUAUGGUCUGAACCCGCUGUGUGAUUGAUGAAGUCAAGUGUUUGUGCAACCCGACGCCGCUCGGGCUAAACACGCGGAAAGGCCGAUAAGCCUCCUGUGAGCAACAUCAGUAGCUGAGACGGUUGCAGAGAUCCGCCUGCCGCGUGUAAUGGAUUUCACGGACGCCGAUCGACCGCUUCGAGGGAAGAAAACGCUCGGUGCUGAAUGCUGCUGUAAUAAAGUUAUAACACUUACUUACACUCAUGCAAGAAACGUGUGAAGGAUGUUUCAGAGGCUGACUUAAUUAAGUAUUAGUUUAGUGUUUUUUACCCUCUUGGUGGCCUGUCUGCUGCAGACUGGUCAAAACGAGUCAUAUUUUUGAAAGGAAAAACCAAUAAGCACAAGGAAAGAACCCGUGAUGAAGCCUCCAUGUGUAAAGUCCCUGAACCAAUGAAAUUGCCUCAAGCGACGCGGCCGUGGCAGAAAAAAAGGUAGAAAUAAAACCAUGUGAUCAGUGCACUUGCUUCAAUUCGAUGGUAAUCUGCAGGAGAGAUGGAAAUGGAAUGAUCAUUACAGUGAUGAAUCCCCCCCCGCGGAGGGCUGCCCGGAGACGAGAUCUGCAACAAUGCAAGAAGAGGGGCCAGCUGGAGGUUCAGGCAUUUGAUCCGGAUUCCUCACGCUGGUUUAUUUGUGCUCAUCCGACUGGUAGAAGGUCUGAGAAUCCACAGGAGAACUUGGACAACUUUCCCGGCCUCCAGGGAUCAUGGCGAAAAUAAAAGAACUUGAUAGAAUCUGUUGUGACGGAGCCCUUUUCAUGAACAUCAGCCCUCAAGAACGUGCGCAGGAUCGUCUCCUGGGCAGUUUCUGUAGAUUCCGUAGACAUGUGCGAUCAUCAGGCCGGGCGGUGUGAGCUUUGUUGAGGAGCAGCGGUUCAUCCGUGUUGGUUGGCCGGAGAGCGAAACGUUUGGCCGGAUGAAUCGAUGGGAGCACAGUUGGCUUCUUUGCCCCGUCGCCAUCCCCGUCCCGAGAGAGAGAGCAGCUGCUCCUCCAACCAGAAGCUCCGGGAAACUUUCCAGCUCGACGAAAGCGUUUGACCGGCAUAUUGUCCAAAGUUUAAACGUUCCUUCCUGAUGAAUUUGAUCAAAGAGGGAAAUCUGGAGAGGAGACCAAAUCUCCUUCUUUAACCACCUGGCUUAGUGUGUGAAUCUGUCGCAAUAUUGUGUCUUGUGUGAGAAACUCUUGACAACAGCAUCAAUUAGCAGUGUUUUCUCCACUGAGUGCUUUCUUAAGAGGCUUAAAUGGUGUUAAAUGAACCGACGUGCUCCACUUUGCUUCUGUUAAAGAACUUUGAUCUAAAUUCAUAUUAGGAAUGAUGCUUCAGCAGUCUACAACGAUAAAAAACAGAAGCAAGUCAGCAUCUUUGCACUUCCCCACGUCUUUGUCUCUGUUUUUAGUUCAGGUCAGUUGUUGAUGCAAGCUGAAGAGAUUUUAACGCUGUGAAAAUGAAUCAAUGGUCUCAAUCACUAGUUUCAAGUCUUCUCCUAUACAGCACGAUGUCCAUUUAGUAGAUGAUGGUACAUUUAGAGUCUAUAAACUUAACCCAAAAGAACAGUAAUCAGUCACCUUUUUCUUUUUUUUAAUAUACUUUCCCGCCUUUUUGUGUUUCCUCACCUUUGCGGUUGACCUUACCGCCCCUUAGCUCACCUGUGUGUGAUCACUUGGCCCUCACGUGUGUCUCCUGUUUCAGUGUGUGUGUGUGGAGAAACAGAACGGAGCCCUUAACCUGUCUUUCCUUUCAGUCGUUACACAUAUUGCUCCAUAGGCGAAGGUACAGGAAGCUGACUGAAACACCGUCACGUUCCGUAUUCAUACAUACUACUAUCUCCAUUUCCCCCGUAUUUCUUAUGAUUGUGAUUUAAUUUGUAUACAACCCACAAUAUAAUAAUGCUGUCUUUGGAAAAUGAUUUAUUGGCAAAGAAAAUCGAAUUUGUCAACUUGACUGAACAAAAUCAUGAUAGAUGAUACAGAAAGUGUUUUGUGUCGUUUCCCUC